rnacentral:rRNA from 1 species
UACGGAGGAGGCAAGCGUUAUCCGGAUUUAUUGGGCGUAAAGAGCUCGUAGGCGGCUCAGUAAGUCAGGUGUGAAAACUCCAGGCUCAACCUGGAGACGCCACCUGAUACUGCUGUGGCUAGAGUCCGGUAGGGGAGCAUGGAAUUCCAGGUGUAGCGGUGAAAUGCGUAGAUAUCUGGAGGAAUACCGGUGGCGAAGGCGGCAUCCUGGACCGGCAUUGACGCUGAGGAGCGAAAGCUAGGGGAGCAAACGGG